AAUAUUUGACCAUGGGCGAAAGCCUAAUCCAGCCAGGCCGUGUGUGUGAAGAAGGUCUUCGGAUUGUAAAGCACGUUAUGUUGGGAGGAAGGGUAGUAAGUUAAUACCUUGCUGUUUUGACGUUACCGACAGAAUAAGCACCGUCUAACUUCGUGCAAGCAGCCGCGGUAAUACGAAGGGCUCAAGCGUUAAUCGGAAUUACUGGGCGUAAAGCGCGCGUAGGUGGUUCGUUAAGUUGGAAGUGAAAACCCCGGGCUUAACAAGGGAAUUGCUUUCAAAACUGACGAGCUAGAGUACGGUAGAGGGUAGUGGAAUAUCCUGUGUAGCGGUGAAAUGCGUAGAUAUAGGAAGGAACAUCAGUGGCGAAGGCGACUACCUGGACUGAUACUGACACUGAGGUGCGAAAGCGUGGGGAGCAAACAGG
rnacentral:rRNA from 1 species